rnacentral:sRNA from 12 species
CCCUUGGAGCAUUAUGGCAAACAAAAGUAGUUAAUUUAAUUUAAUAACGAAAUUGGAUGCAAUGAAUAGGGAA